GCCGCGGUUGGGUUACAAAUGAGUCAUUUUUAUUUUUUUAGUGCAACAUCACAACAAACAAUUUUCACAUGAGGUAUUCAAAGGGAUUUUCUUUAGUUGUUGAUACAAAAUGUCCCACCAUGAUUGACGUUUAAAGUGUUGUGUAUCUUUUUUUUUUUUUUUAAAGCCUUUGGUUGGUUAGCCACAUUCAUUAGUAAGUCUAACACAUGGACAAGAAUGGCACGAUAAAGCAUGGUGGGUCGAGUCCAAGCUGAGGAAAGUCAGACUCGGUCAAAUAUAAUAUUUCCCUCAACUCUUCCCCGUUUAAAGCUUUUUGUAUGGAUUUAAUUAAUUCCUACUUACAACAGUGGGAUCAAACAGUAUUUCAACUACACUAAACAUUUGGAAAAAACAGGUGUUGAAGGGGUGGCUUACAAAUGUGGAAAAAUAGCUUCUUUCUCCUCCGACCUUUUUUAUUUUUGGAUGAGCGCUUGAUUUUUGGGCUUUUCUGUUACAGCAAGUCACAUGAUUCUAUUUUUUUGAAGAAGAAAAAAAAACAAGGAAUAGGCAACGUUUGAUUACAGCAAGAUCCUCCUUGCUUGGAUUGUCACCUCCCUUCUUUUUUUGGUCUUGAGAAUGAUUUUAUUUACAUACAGAACAUGUAUCGAUGGGACACGAGCAUACUGGACUCAAGCUUUGGCUGGACGGGGGCCUUGUUUGGCCCCUGUUACGGAUUGAUUCCAGCACAUUUGGUUUUUGGAGUAAAAGGCGUGAAGAAGAGACGGAUGGACAGACAAGAUAGAUAGAUAGAUAGAUAGAUAGUCAGACACCCUGACAGGAUGGAUUCUUUGGUUAAGGAAUAUCUUUGCCACACAACAUCUCACACAGUUGAGGUAGAUGGGUAAAGUCUUCAUGUACACAUGGGGGUACGUGGGGGGGGGGGGGGGGGCACCGGGGUUUACAGAGUCAUAAGACUUCCAUCUGGAGACACUGCCUCAUGUCAGUUUCUCAGUUCCAGCUCAGCGUAAUACUGUUUUUUCUGUGACAUAAAUAAUCAGCAGGCGGAACCUCACUGGUGCUUUUCUGAAUCCUCUGAGUGCUACGAUAGCUCUGAUAGGGAACCACUAAAACUACCCAUGAUGCACAACCCGUCAGCAGUUACCCAUCGAUCUUUGGUUAUUGUUUCUUUUUUUGGUUUCAAACAUUAUUAUUUUAUUUUUUUUGGUCUUUUUUUAACUGUGAAAGUAAACAUCAGCUUUCCGUUCGGCUAUUUCUUCAUUCACGCUGCUCUUCGAACGGCCUCGGCUGCCACAGACUCGUUUUUAAGAGUAAAAGUCACUAGAAAAGCCACUAGGGGGCGCCGCAGGCUCAAAUGGCAAUGCUGAUUCACCCCCCCCCCCUCCCCAUCUGUACAGAAAGGGAAGAGCUUCCCCUCUUGACACGGAGGAGCAGAAGGUGGCUCAAUACAAAAAGCUCUGUCUCCAUUUUAGGCUCCCAGUCAGAGAGACAAAGGGAAACCUGAAAGGUGUCACCUCUGCUUUGAUACGAUGACGGUGGUCUGCAGAGGUUUGGGGGACGAGCCUCAAAGCUCUGGUAUUGGUUUUCAUUUUUCCU
ensembl:lncRNA